UACAGAGACCUCAAGCGUUAUCCGGAAUCAUUGGGCGUAAAGCGUACCGAUAGGUGGUUUAGAAAGUCAGAUGUGAAAUUCCAAGGCUCAACCUUGGGACUGUCAUUUGAAACUUCUAAACUAGAGGGGCAAAGAGGAAGCUGGAACGAACGGUGUAGUAGUGAAAUGCGUUGAUAUCGUUCGGAACACCAAUAGCGAAGGCAGGCUUCUGGGUGCCACCUGACACUGCUAGGACGAAAGCGUGGGGAGCGAAGGGG
rnacentral:rRNA from 1 species